AUUAUGUUCAUUAUUACAAUACCUACUCCAUUAGUGUAAUAAUAAAACUGACUCUUCUAAUUCUGGCAAAUAAAAUGAACCAUCGUAUUGUGCAUUGAAUAAGAUUAGGUUCAUAUGCAAAUAAAGCUUCACCAACACCUUUACCAUAUACCAACAUUAUUCAACUGGCACUUAAGCGGGUUCACCAACUGUAUAAGGUGAAGAAAAAAAGCAACUCAAGUAUGUAAUUCAAAAUUACAACAAACAAAAAAACUGUCUUUGCUGAUUACCUUAAGUUAUACAAAGUAUUCCAUUAAACAGUAGCUCUUUAAAGGGAGGUGAUUCACCGUGGCAAGAAGCAUUGUUCCAAAGAUUGACACCUGAUGGAUGGUGAAGACCUCUGAUUCUGCACACCUUGGGAUGGUUGAUUAGAUUCCUCCAUGGAUAUCCCCAAAUUCAUCUCAUGUGAAGUUGUUCCAACUCAAAACAAUGCACAUCUGUGUAUAAAAAGGUUCAAUGAUUUUUACGGACCUUCAUUUGUAUUGGUAUUUAUUAGGACUUAAAGGUUUUGGUGAAGAUUCAUAUUAGCUCCUAAUCAGGAGAACUUGUUGUCACAUACCAAGGUAUUGCCUACACCAUAAUACUUGUAUAGAUGCGUAUUCUAAUUAUCAGUGGUUUUGCCAUUGGAGAACCUUCCAGUUGGGCCACCAAAGUCAAUCCCAUAAGGCUGGUAAUUGGCUUUAGAUUGUUGUUGUUGCCAUUGUCCACCAAUGAGUCCCCAAAUAUGAAGUAGCAUGGUACAUUGGUACCUGUGAUGCACCUUCAACUACUUCUACUACCACCACCAGUAAUGUUCGUUGCCACUAUCAUCUUCACAAUGCACUUCAUCAUGAGCACCGCCCAUUGAAUUGAAUGAAGCAACGGAUAAUGAAGCUAAGUCACCCAUGGCAAAGUGGAAGCUUUGUUGUUUAGUUUAGAUGCUAUGAAAUAUUUGUGAGAUGAGAACAACUAUAUAUAGGAGUAGAAGAGUACCGAGUAGGCUUUAUUUUAUUUUAUUUUUUUACAACUUUUACAGUUGAGAGUGUUAGUUAGGAACAUUAAAUUCGCGCGGACAUAACGUGAUGAAGAAAUUGGAAGACAGGGGCAAUCUUAGCGGUGUACCACUACCUUUUAAUCAGGGACGGACGUAAGGGGCGAGUGACGGCUUCGGCCCCUACUUUUUUUAAU